CCAUGGGACGCGGAGGUCAUUACAGAGCUGCAAAACUCCCUAAACCAUCGUGAACGCUACCUAAACCGUUGCUUCGGCGGGCGGCGCCCUCGCGCGCCCCCCCUGGGGCCCGCACCGCGGGCGCCCGCCGGAGGUACACCAAACUCUUGAUAUGUUAUGGCCACUCUGAGUCUCCUGUACUGAAUAAGUCAAAACUUUCAACAACGGAUCUCUUGGUUCUGGCAUCGAUGAAGAACGCAGCGAAAUGCGAUAAGUAAUGUGAAUUGCAGAAUUCAGUGAAUCAUCGAAUCUUUGAACGCACAUUGCGCCCGCCAGCAUCCUGGCGGGCAUGCCUGUUCGAGCGUCAUUUCAACCCAUCAAGCCCACGGCUUGUGUUGGGGACCUGCGGCUGCCCGCAGGCCCUGAAAACCAGUGGCGGGCUCGCUAGUCACACCGGGCGUAGUAGCAUACGACCUCGCUCAGGGCGUGCUGCGGGUUCCAGCCGUAAAACGACCUUCACAACCCAAGGUUGACCUCGGAUCAGGUAGGAGGACCCGCUGAACUUAAGCAUAUCAAAAGCCGGAGGAA
rnacentral:rRNA from 1 species